rnacentral:rRNA from 1 species
UACGGGGGGGGCAAGCGUUGUUCGGAAUUACUGGGCGUAAAGGGCUCGUAGGUGGUCAACUAAGUCAUACGUGAAAUCCCUCGGCUUAACCGGGGAACUGCGCCUGAUACUGGUUGACUUGAGUUUGGGAGAGGGACGCGGAAUUCCAGGUGUAGCGGUGAAAUGCGUAGAUAUUGGGAGGAACACCGGUGGCGAAGGCGGCCAUCUGGGAGGGCACUGACGCUGAGACGCGAAAGCGUGGGGAGCAAACAGG